UACGUAGGUGGCAAGCGUUUGUCCGGAUUUACUGGGCGUAAAGAGCGCGCAGGCGGUCGUUCAAGUCGCGUGUGAAAGCCCCCGGCUCAACUGGGGAGGGUCACGCGAUACUGAUCGACUCGAAGGCAGGAGAGGGUAGUGGAAUUCCCGGUGUAGUGGUGAAAUGCGUAGAUAUCGGGAGGAACACCAGUGGCGAAGGCGACUACCUGGCCUGUUCUUGACGCUGAGGCGCGAAAGCUAAGGGGAGCAAACGGGG
rnacentral:rRNA from 1 species